rnacentral:misc_RNA from 1 species
UACGGAGGGGACUAGCGUUGUUCGGAAUUACUGGGCGUAAAGCGAGCGUAGGCGGCUUAGUCAGUAAGAGGUGAAAUCCCGGGGCUCAACCCCGGAACUGCCUUUGAUACUGCUAGUCUUGAGUUCGAGAUAGGUGAGUGGAAUUCCGAGUGUAGAGGUGAAAUUCGUAGAUAUUCGGAGGAAAACCAGUGGCGAAGGCGGCUCACUGGCUCGAUACUGACGCUGAGGUGCGAAAGCGUGGGGAGCAAACAGG